rnacentral:rRNA from 1 species
AUUGAACGCUGGCGGCAUGCUUUACACAUGCGAGUCGAACGGUAACAGGCCUUCGGGUGCUGACGAGUGGCGAACGGGUGAGUAAUGCAUCGGAACGUACCCAGAGGUGGGGGAUAACGCAGCGAAAGCUGUGCUAAUACCGCAUGUGAUCUGAGGAUGAAAGCGGGGGACCGAGCAGCAAUGUUUGGCCUCGCGCCUUUGGAGCGGCCGAUGUCGGAUUAGCUAGUUGGUGGGGUAAAGGCCUACCAAGGCGACGAUCCGUAGCUGGUCUGAGAGGACGACCAGCCACACUGGGACUGAGACACGGCCCAGACUCCUACGGGAGGCAGCAGUGGGGAAUUUUGGACAAUGGGCGCAAGCCUGAUCCAGCAAUGCCGCGUGCGGGAAGAAGGCCUUCGGGUUGUAAACCGCUUUUGGCAGGAACGAAACGGUGUCCGCUAAUACCGGGCGCUAAUGACGGUACCUGCAGAAUAAGCACCGGCUAAUUACGUG